CCUGGAGCGUCACCUUAUUAAUAUUCAAGAGCCGAUCCUUCGCCAUAGUGCGGUCGGUGAACGCGGCAGCGGUGCAGAACCCACUGCUGCUAGCUCAACUAGCGCGCUUCCGGUGUAUUUCCGCCUGCCCGAAGCCCCGAAGCCCCGAAGCCCGCUGUGCUGAUGCUGCUUCCCCGCUUCUGCGUCUGGACUGAUCCGCGGGAGCUUCGUGGAGCUCUGGUCUGAGGGAUGUCCGCUGACGCGCGCUGACACAUGCGCAGCGCUGCGAUAACCGCCCGCGAGCCCGAGGAAGCACACGUUAAUCGGUGGGCCGGUGAAGUUUUCGCGGAAGCAUUGAUGUUGUCGACAGGAUCUGGCGAACCUGAUGGACCUCCUCCUCCAGAGAUCGACAACAAACAACUCGUCUACUGUGUCAACACCAUCUUGGACUCUCGGCGAUGAGGUGGCUGUUUGGAAUAUCUGGUGGACUGGGAAGGUUACAGCCUUGAGGAAAGAUCCUGGAUUGUAAUGAUAUGUAAUGGACCUUCAUACAGAUCGUCACGCUCCCAAAGGCAGAGGCUGUCCUUGUCACUACUGGAGCUGCCCAUGGGCGGGGGGAUACUGUCACAUAAUCACCAGUCACGCCAGAACCUGCAGCUCCACCCACUUGUUCACAAUCCCCGGAGUUCAGAUUCACUGCACCUGCCUUCACCAAUCAAGCCACCCUUUAUAAACCCUCACUUUGCACUUCUCAUUUGUCUGUUCUUGUUGUUACCUUAUGUAAUGAACCUGGCUACCUUCCUGCACUACUUACCCUCCUCGAUCCGUCAUCUUCCUGUUGAGCAUUCACCAUUGUGGACUCUUACCUGGCUGUCACUACUCAACAGUGUCUCAGCUAAGUCUGCUUUACUCAUUCGUUUAUCUGCCUGCCUCCAUAUUGUCAAUAAACAUCCCAUCUGUAUCAGUCCCUGUCCUGUGUCCUUCUGUUUCAUAACACUUAC